rnacentral:rRNA from 1 species
UGCCAGCAGCCGCGGUAAUACAGAGGUCUCAAGCGUUGUUCGGAUUCAUUGGGCGUAAAGGGUGCGUAGGUGGCGGGGCAAGUCUGGUGUGAAAUCCCGGGGCUCAACCCCGGAACUGCACUGGAUACUGCCUUGCUAGAGCACUGGAGAGGGAACUGGAAUUUACGGUGUAGCAGUGAAAUGCGUAGAUAUCGUAAGGAAGACCAGUGGCGAAGGCGAGUUCCUGGACAGUUGCUGACACUGAGGCACGAAGGCUAGGGGAGCAAACGGGAUUAGAUACCCCGGUAGUCCUAGCAGUAAACGGUGCGCGUUUGGUGUAGGAGGAUUCGACCCCUUCUGUGCCGGAGCUAACGCGUUAAACGCGCCGCCUGGGGAGUACGGUCGCAAGAUUAAAACUUAAAGGAAUUGGCGGGGGAC